AGUGAACGCUGGCGGUAGGCCUAACACAUGCAAGUCGAACGGCAGCACAGUAAGAGCUUGCUCUUACGGGUGGCGAGUGGCGGACGGGUGAGGAAUACAUCGGAAUCUACUUUUUCGUGGGGGAUAACGUAGGGAAACUUACGCUAAUACCGCAUACGACCUACGGGUGAAAGCAGGGGAUCUUCGCACCUUGCGCGAUUGAAUGAGCCGAUGUCGGAUUAGCUAGUUGGCGGGGUAAAGGCCCACCAAGGCGACGAUCCGUAGCUGGUCUGAGAGGAUGAUCAGCCACACUGGAACUGAGACACGGUCCAGACUCCUACGGGAGGCAGCAGUGGGGAAUAUUGGACAAUGGGCGCAAGCCUGAUCCAGCCAUACCGCGUGGGUGAAGAAGGUCUUCGGGUUGUAAAGCCCUUUUGUUGGGAAAGAAAAGCAGCAGGUUAAUACCCCGCUGUUCUGACGGUACCCAAAGAAUAAGCACCGGCUAACUUCGUG
rnacentral:rRNA from 1 species